CCCCUCUCAGGAUUGCACCUAGAGAGUUUCCAGUACUCUUCCAGUCUCGGCUAUGGAAGGGAGAGUCGAUCAGAGGCCUACCCAUUCCAUUCCUAGCUUGGUCAGUGGCUAGCGAGUAGAAGGCAAUCUGCUACAAGU
rfam:Ornithorhynchus anatinus chromosome 2, whole genome shotgun sequence.